rnacentral:rRNA from 1 species
UACAGAGGGGGCAAGCGUUGUUCGGAAUUACUGGGCGUAAAGGGCGCGUAGGCGGCCUGCUAAGUCGGAUGUGAAAUCCCUCGGCUCAACCGAGGAACUGCAUCCGAUACUGGCGGGCUGGAAUCCGGGAGAGGGAUGUGGAAUUCCAGGUGUAGCGGUGAAAUGCGUAGAUAUCUGGAGGAACACCGGUGGCGAAGGCGGCAUCCUGGACCGGUAUUGACGCUGAGGCGCGAAAGCUAGGGGAGCAAACGGG